rnacentral:rRNA from 1 species
GAUCAUGGCUCAGGAUGAACGCUGGCGGCGUGCAUAACACAUUCAAGUCGAACGGGGCAGCAAUGCCUAGUGGCGGACGGGUGAGUAACGCGUGAGCAACCUGCUCUUGCGUGGGGGAUACCAUCUGGAAACGGAUGUUAAUACCGCAUAAAGUACAGGCGACCGCAUGGUCGUAGUACCAAAGAUUUAUUGCGCAAGGAUGGGCUCGCGUCCCAUUAGAUAGUUGGCGAGG